ensembl:lncRNA
AUGGGAGUUGGAGGGGUUCCCAGCAGUGUAGAGAGAGCAGGAGUGGGGAGCGGCCCUGGGGGGGGCAAUACGGGCUCCUUCCUGGGCUCUCUAUUCGGCAGCAAACGCGCCAAACCGCCAAGUCCCCUUAUACCACCGGGGCCACCCUACCCCGCCCCUGUCCCCCCACCCACUACGGGAGGGCCCCCUCCUCACUCCCCAUCAUCUCUGUGCCAGUCAGAGGGGGGCCCUUCCAAGAUCCAGGCCCUGCAUGCUCAGUACUGCCACACGGCCGUCGUGCAGCCCCCUCCCCCCUACUACCAUCACCAUCGCUACCACGUCCAAGCUGGCCCUCCUCCCUUGCCAGGCGGGGGCAUGCCCCCUCAUAUCCUUCAGAGAGGGCCGCUCCCCUGUCGCCCUCCUUUUGGCCCCCCUCACGCCCAGCUCCAGCAGCUGGCCCAUCUCUCCCAGUUUUCCCAGCAUGGCAUGCAGGGUCGCUACGGCAACAUAGCGGUGGGCUGUCCUCCCCCCCUUUCUCCUCACUCCCAACAUUCCCAGAACCCCCAGUUCGCCCUGUACCACACGCAAACCCCACAAUCUAUCAGGGGAGGCGCUGUGCCAAGCAAACCUCCUCUAACUUUGUCUCACUCCCACCCGCACCCCCACGCACACUCCCACACCCACCCCGGGCACCCACUCAGUGCCGCGCCACACCCCACCGCCCACCCACAUCAGUCUCACUUCAUUUUUGGCACGCUGCCCCACCAACAUCAGCACCAGCAGCCGCCCGCCUCCGUCAACGCCCAUCACGCUACGUCCGCCGCCCAGUAUCAGCCCCAGUACCCUCCUCUCUCUUCCAUCCCCCCUCCCCCACCCCACUCCCCUUUACCCCCCCCUUCUAUCCCCCUUACCCCUCUUACGCCUCUCUGCCCUCACCCCCCCCAGCACCCCGGGCAGCCUCAGCAGGGGCCCCAGGUGACGGGGGCUGGGGCGACUGGCACAGGGGUCAGCUCCAAAUCCAAACCUAUCAACCGGAUCAGCACGGUAGUGUGA